GCCUGGGUGGCUCAGUCAGUUAAGCAUCUGACUUCAGCUCAGGCAUGAUCUCACAGUCUGUGAGUUCAAGCCUCACGUUGGGCU
rnacentral:tRNA from 1 species